AUGUCUGUGUGUGUGUGUGUGUGUGUGUGUGUGAGAGAGAGAGAGAGAGAGAGAGAGAGAGAGAGAGAGAGAGAGAGAGAGAGAGAGAGACGCUGUCUUUUCAGAACUGAAAUGCCCUUUUCUGUUGUUCCAAAGUGAACAGUGAGAAUGCUGCACAGCUCAUUGCUUUUUCUUGAGGACUGGAAUGGAAAUGAUAAUAAUCAUCUUUUUGUUUGCUUCGUCAUUUUCUGUCAAUGGAAGGAGGGGGAAAGGACACGCACAUUUGUUUCUCUUUUAAUCUGUGCUUCAACUAAAAGAGUUCACGUAGUUAGUGUAACAAUAAAGGAGCUGCAAGAAGCUGAUGUUGCGAACAUAAGGGGGGAAAGGGGAAUCUUGGAAGUGAAGCAAAGAAGCCAAGGUGAGGAAGGGAACACAGAGAUAUAAAUAACUUGGGUGCUUAGCCCGGGGAGUGACUUUCUCUCCUGGUUUGUCCAGCCCUGGCACUGCUGGCAUCGGCUCUCUGGGGAGAGCUGCAAUUCUACUGUUAAAACACAAGGAGCAGCGUGGAGAAUUUUGAGCUGCGUCACACAGCACAGAGGGGGAGAGAGGGAGUGAGUGAAGGAGAGCAAGCUCUGUCGAUAGGUCUACUAGCAACAGCCUUGCUGCAGCAAGACAGACAGAGAGAGAGAGAGAUCAGGAAAGAGAAGUAAUAACAACACGGGGAAGCAUGGCUUCUUUACCUCUCCGGCAUCUUCUUGUAUGGCUCUUCUUACCUAAAAAGAAUAUUACUUGCCAGCUUGUUCAGUACCAGCAGAUUUCGUCCAGCAAUGAUACCGGAAAGAUGCAACGCAGUUAAUCCCGCCAGGAAGGGGGGGCAGGUAUAGGAAGGGUUAAUAGGAGGAAAAUUCUCGAAUGUUCGGUGCUGCGGCGAAGCAAACCAAGAGUUGAGGACUGCACACAGGUGUAGACGAACACAUCUUAUGGUUCCUUUCCCCCUACGUGCAACAUCUUUCCCCGCUUCCCGGUGAGCCCUUACUGUGCAGAGCUCUCACCUCCAGGACAGUCUUGCAUCCUGCAGUGCUAGAUCCACAGAAGAAGACGUACUGGAGACACAAUUACAAUGGCUGGUCUGGGGAAGCAAUGGAUGUUGGCUGAAAUCGUGAUUCUUUUCGGCAGGAACAAGGAAAAUACAACGCAGCUGGGGAAAGCAAGGUUGUCCAUCCUGUGCAACUGGAAUCAUUAAUACAAUGGCAUCAGAGGAUGGUUCUUAUAGAUCAUGGAUGAAUACUGAAGGAAAGCAUUUUUGCUGAAGUGCGUAAAGGAAAAGACAUGUUGCAUUCCAUGUCAAUUUUGUGCUUCUGCUUUCAUGUGGAGCACAGAUAUUUCCCUUGAUAUAGAAGAAUGUUUUCUUUUGUAACAAUACUCAGUAUCCUUCUUUGGAUGUAAAGAAGACAAAAAUAGAUGUUUUUCUGCGGACUAUGGAAACCUACUAGAUUACAUGAAAUAUAAUCUAGUACUCUGUGUCAAAUAUCUUCUUUAUUGGCAUACCAUUUAAAUAGCUAACAGAGGAAAUGCAAAUGUUCCCUAUGAAGGAAGGCAAACUCUUGGCAACAUAAAAGAAAGCUUCAAACACAUGGAUUGUGAAGAAGGCACCAACACAGGUGUGUGUCUUCCUCUGGAAGCUGGUUUCACAUGGUGGCUUAGAUUUUUCCAUCUUUGUAUCUAGCACCAUUUGAAAUCAGUGUUCUAGGAGCAAGAAUUACAGCACUGGAUGUGGAAAACAACCAGAAACAACAGGACCUUGCCACCAAUGAUCUAUUAACAGCAUCUGGACACCAGAAUUCAUUGCAACCCCUACUAGCAACGCCAGUGUUAAUAUGCAAACAGUAUUGGCACAAAAUUAUACAUGAAGACAGUGAUGACUAGCCUAUUACAAAGCCAAGACUCUAGUUUUGUGGUGCUCCAAACAGCUCCACAGUAGGAAUUUGUGCAUUGCCUUGUUCCUUUGUAAAAUGAGUCAUGCUUCUCUUGGAGGUUAGGAUCUUGGAAGUUUGCACCACACUUAACACAUCCCCAUUCCCAUUGAUGCUUUUGAACCCAAAUGAGGUUAGAAUGCUGUUGGCCUUCUCUUGCCCAUUUAAGCCCAGGAGAUAGCUUGCUUUCAUGAGGAAGUGAUCCAGAAUCACUUCCUUUCUGGGAGAAAAAAACCUGAUCUCCUGAACAUAAAAUAAAAUGGCACAUGGAAAGACAAAAACAUGGCAGAAUUGUCCCUCAUGCUCUAAGGAGCAACUGGAGUAAAUUAACUAGUUUCCAUGCAUUUCCCCCCCAAAAAUGUGGAAGGCCUUGUGGUCCACAAAAGCAGGCAUGAGGGCGUAUGUGACUGUGAACCACUCAUUUCCAUCCUUGCUUUAAAACAAUGGCAACAACUACAGAAGGUCCAGCAACACAGUAAAGCAAGGGAACUUGUGCUUCGUUUCCACAAAGUUCACAAAGGGAGAACUGAGAGGUUGGUGCCACCUGGUGCUCGUUCAUAUUACGUAAUUAUAAUAUUGGAAUUCCAUUCUGAAUGCCACAGUACCAUCCUAUGGAAUUCUAGGAUUUGCAGUUUAGAAAGGGCAUUUAAAAUUCUCAGCCAUAGAAUUGUAGUACCACAUCCAACUACAAACCCUGGUGAUUCCUCAGGAUGCAGUAAAAUUGGAAUCUGCACAGAGUGAAAGGGUCCCUGGUGUAAGAGAGGAGCACCAAGCAGGCAAUAGGGAGAAGGGAACCAUAAAGUAUGUUCUCUUUCUUUCUAAAUAAUUUAGCGAUUGUGUUAGGAAUGGCUAUUGAUAACAGCCCUGCCACAUUUCUGAUAGGAAUAAGGUGAAAUUUCAAUCUACAAGGUCAUGUAUGAACAGCAGCACAGCAAGAUUUCAGGUACCAAAGCCAAAAAAGGUAGGUUCACUUUCAGAAGAAGGGGAGGGCUGAGCCUUUAAUGUUAUCUAUUUUGGCUACAAAUAUUUUGGCUACAUUAAGGAAUUAAUCAUAUUCCUGUCCAUGCCAAAACUUAAUCACUAGUCCUUCAAAAAGAAUUUUAAGGUAAUUAAUUACAUUAAAAGAUAUUCAUAUACAUGCACACAUAUAUUUUUUAUUUUUAAAAGGUACCAAAUCCACCUGAACAAAUUUUACAGGAAUAAAAAAUGUGUUGAACAUAGCAUUCUUUUUGCUAUAAAAUGCAAUUUUUCAAAGUUAUUUGAUACAUUUUGAUAGUAUUGAUCUGUACUUAAUAUUCUACUCCUAGCCAACAAUGUGCUGACACCUAUAAUUGAUUCUUCAAUUUUGUUGGACUUGGUACCUUUUGGAAAUAUAUUCCAUAUGCCUACAUACAUACAUACUUCCUGACAACAAUGGGGAAAACAGAGAAAGGCAAAGACAAUUGAGAAAUGUUGAUUGACUUAUAAGUAAUAAGUAGCAAAAAUAUAAUCUGGCCUAAUUAUUGCUAUUUAAACUAGUUUCACUCAACAUUUCGUUUUUGGAAGCAGGGUAAAAUAAACCAAUAAAUAUAAUAACCCCAAAAGGUCUACUAGACUUGCAUGCCACGGUUUGAUAUUGUUACUAUUUUUAUUUCAAGUUUAAUGGUUUAAAAUUAACUGAAAUAUUUGUUUAAUUGUUCUGAUAUAUUGGUUUUCUUUGUUGAGAAUGUUGAAUAUUGUGUAUUAUAAGAAAAAAUGUAAUUUUCAAAUGUUUUAAAUAAAUGAAGAUAACUGUU